rnacentral:rRNA from 1 species
CACUCACGUUGGAACGACCGAGUGCACCAAACGCUCCGGCGCUGCAGGAUGUGGCUGCGGCCGAUUAGGUAGACGGUGGGGUAACGGCCCACCGUGCCGAUAAUCGGUACGGGUUGUGAGAGCAAGAGCCCGGAGACGGAAUCUGAGACAAGAUUCCGGGCCCUACGGGGCGCAGCAGGCGCGAAACCUUUACACUGCACGACAGUGCGAUAAGGGGACCCCAAGUGCGAGGGCAUACAGUCCUCGCUUUUGUGUACCGUAAGGUGGUACACGAAUAAGAGCUGGGCAAGACCGGUGCCAGCCGCCGCGGUAAUACCGGCAGCUCGAGUGAUGACCGAUUUUAUUGGGCCUAAAGCGUCCGUAGCUGGCCGCGUAGGUUCGUCGGGAAAUCCAUCCGCUCAACGGAUGGGCGUCCGGCGAAAACCACGUGGCUUGGGACCGGAAGGCUCGAGGGGUACGUCCGGGGUAGGAGUGAAAUCCCGUAAUCCUGGACGGACCGCCGAUGGCGAAAGCACCUCGAGAAGACGGAUCCGACAGUGAGGGACGAAAGCUGGGGUCUCGAACCGGAUUAGAUACCCGGGUAGUCCCAGCCGUAAACAAUGCCAAUUAGGUGUGGCACCGACUACGAGUCGGUGCUGUGCCGUAGGGAAGCCGAUAAAUAGGCCGCCUGGGAAGUACGUCCGCAAGGAUGAAACUUAAAGGAAUUGGCGGGGGAGCACUACAACCGGAGGAGCCUGCGGUUUAAUUGGACUCAACGCCGGACAUCUCACCAGCAUCGACUGUAGCAAUGAUCAUCAGGUUGAUGACCUCUAUGUUGAGCUACAGAGAGGAGGUGCAUGGCCGCCGUCAGCUCGUACCGUGAGGCGUCCUGUUAAGUCAGGCAACGAGCGAGACCCGCACUCUUAAUUGCCAGCAUCGCGUUCGCGCGGAUGGGUACAUUAGGAGGACUGCCGCUGCUAAAGCGGAGGAAGGAACGGGCAACGGUAGGUCAGUAUGCCCCGAAUGUGCUGGGCUACACGCGGGCUACAAUGGCCGAGACAAUGGGUUCCUACCUCGAAAGAGGAUGGUAAUCUCAGAAACUCGGUCGUAGUUCGGAUUGAGGGUUGAAACUCACCCUCAUGAAGCUGGAUUCGGUAG